rnacentral:rRNA from 1 species
GCAGCAGUGGGGAAUUUUGGACAAUGGGCGCAAGCCUGAUCCAGCAAUGCCGCGUGCAGGAUGAAGGCCUUCGGGUUGUAAACUGCUUUUGUACGGAACGAAAAGGUUCUCUUUAAUAAAGAGGGCUCAUGACGGUACCGUAAGAAUAAGCACCGGCUAACUACGUGCCAGCAG